GAUGAACGCUGGCGGCGUGCCUAAUACAUGCAAGUCGAGCGAACAGAUGAGGAGCUUGCUCCUCUGACGUUAGCGGCGGACGGGUGAGUAACACGUGGAUAACCUACCUAUAAGACUGGGAUAACUUCGGGAAACCGGAGCUAAUACCGGAUAAUAUAUUGAACCGCAUGGUUCAAUAGUGAAAGACGGUUUUGCUGUCCCUUAUAGAUGGAUCCGCGCCGCAUUAGCUAGUUGGUAAUGUAAAGGCUUACCAAGGCAACGAUGCGUAGCCGGUCUGAGAGGACGAACAGGCACACUGGAACUGAGACACGGCCCAGACUCCUACGGGAGGCAGCAGUGGGGAAUUUUGGACAAUAGGCGGAAGCCUGAUCCAGCAAUGCCGCGUGCAGGAAGAAGGCCUUCGGGUUGUAAACUUCUUUUUUUCGGAACGAAACGGCUCUGGUGAAUACCCGGCGCUAAUGACGGUACCGUAAGAAUAAGCACCGGCUAACUACGUG
rnacentral:rRNA from 1 species